rnacentral:rRNA from 1 species
UGAUCAAGCUACUAAGGGCACACGGUGGAUGCCUUGGCGCUAGCAGGCGAAGAAGGGCGUGGUAAGCUGCGAUAAGCUUCGGUGAGCCGCUAACAGGCGUUGACCCGGAGAUACCCGAAUCGGGUAACCGGUUACGGUUAAUCCCGUAACACCCCUGGCUGAAUCCAUAGGUUAGGGGGGCCAACCAGGGAAACUGAAACAUCUCAGUACCCUGAGGAAAAGAAAGCAAAUGCGAUUCCCUAAGUAGUGGCGAGCGAAAGGGGAAGAGCCUAAACCGUAGGGGAUGUAGAAGCUCGUAGGCGUUGUUCCCUCGGGGUUGCGGGGCUCAGUUGGGCGGGGCUACGACCUCGCCGGAGAGUUAGAAAGACAGUCCUUAGCUGAACGGUCUGGAAAGGCCGGCCAUAGGGGGUGACAGUCCCGUAAGCGAAAAGGUCUGUCCUCUCUGGACUGAGUUCCCAAGUACCACGGGACACGAGAAAUCCCGUGGGAAUCUAGGAGGACCACCUUCUAAGGCUAAAUACUCGCUAGCGACCGAUAGUGAACUAGUACCGUGAGGGAAAGGCGAAAAGAACCCGGGUGACGGGAGUGAAAUAGAACCUGAAACCGUGUGUCUACAAGCGGUGGAAGCACGAUAGGCCAAAGGGCUUGUCCUGGAGGUCUCGUGCGACCGCGUACCUAUUGCAUAAUGGGCCAGCGAGUUACUCGGCGUGGCAAGGUUAAGCCGUUAGGUGGAGCCGUAGCGAAAGCGAGUCUGAAUAGGGCGUUUAGUUGCGUAGAGUAGACCCGAAACCGGGUGAUCUACCCAUGGCCAGGGUGAAACAGAUGUAACAAUCUGUGAAGGCCCGAACCCACCAAGGUUGAAAACUUGGGGGAUGAGCUGUGGGUAGGGGUGAAAGGCCAAACAAACCCGGAUAUAGCUGGUUCUCCCCGAAAUAUAUUUAGGUAUAGCCUCAUGGGAUGAGUGAUGGCGGUAGAGCACUGGAUGGACUAGGGGCCUUACCGGGCUACCAAACCCAACCAAACUCCGAAUGUCAUUUACUUUCACCAUGGGAGUCAGACUGCGGGGGAUAAGCUCCGUGGUCGAAAGGGAAAGAGCCCAGACCGCCAGCUAAGGUCCCAAAGUAUAGGCUAAGUGGGAAAGGUUGUGGGAUUGCCUAGACAGCCAGGAGGUUGGCUUAGAAGCAGCCAUCCUUUAAAGAAAGCGUAAUAGCUCACUGGUCAAGCGGCCCUGCGCCGAAAAUUUAACGGGGCUUAAGCCUAUCACCGAAGCUGCGGGAUCGGUGAAAACCGAUCGGUAGGGGAGCGUUCCAUGUCAGAUACAAGCCAGACCGGAAGGACUGGUCCAGGGGCAUGGAAGUGAGUAUGCUGGCAUAAGUAGCGAGAAAACGGGUGAGAAACCCGUUCGCCGAAAACCCAAGGGUUCCUGGGGAAGGGUAAUCCGCUCAGGGUUAGUCGGCCCCUAAGCCGAGGCCGAAAGGCGUAGGUGAUGGGAAGCAGGUUAAUAUUCCUGCACCACCAAGGCAGCGCUUGAGCGAUGGGGUGACGCAGGAGGGUAGGUCAUCCUGCGAUUGGAAAUGCAGGUUCCAACCCGUAGGGGGGCGUCCUAGGCAAAUCCGGGAUGCCAUUAACCCCAAGGGGAAGGAGGAGUCCGUGAGGGCAUAAACUGAUCGACCCCACACUGCCAAGAAAUAGCCUCUAGCGAGUUGUCUGGGUGACCGUACCGGAAACCGACUCAGGUGGGUGAGGAGAGAAUCCUAAGGCGCUUGAGAGAACCCUUGCUAAGGAACUCGGCACAUUAGCUCCGUAACUUCGGGAGAAGGAGUGCCCCUGUUAGGUGAAUCCCCUCGCGGGAGGAGCCGAGAGGGGUCGCAGUGACCAGGCCCAGGCGACUGUUUAUUAAAAACACAGGUCUCUGCUAAGUCGCAAGACGACGUAUAGGGACUGACGCCUGCCCGGUGCUGGAAGGUUAAGGGGAGGGGUUAGCCGCAAGGUGAAGCUCUGAACCGAAGCCCCAGUAAACGGCGGCCGUAACUAUAACGGUCCUAAGGUAGCGAAAUUCCUUGUCGGGUAAGUUCCGACCUGCACGAAUGGCGUAACGACUUGGGCGCUGUCUCAGCAAGGGACUCAGCGAAAUUGUAGUAUCGGUGAAGAUGCCGGUUACCCGCGACGAGACGGAAAGACCCCGUGCACCUUUACUGCAGCCUGGUAUUGGAUUUUGGGGUAGUAUGUGUAGGAUAGGUGGGAGGCGAAGAAGCUGGGGCGCUAGUUCCAGUGGAGCCAUCCUUGAAAUACCACCCUUAUUGCUUCGGAGUUCUAACUUGACCCCGUGAUCCGGGGUGAGGACAGUGCCAGGUGGGUAGUUUGACUGGGGCGGUCGCCUCCUAAAACGUAACGGAGGCGCCCAAAGGUUCCCUCAGGCUGGAUGGAAACCAGUCGUAGAGCGUAAAGGCAUAAGGGAGCUUGACUGCGAGACUGACAAGUCGAGCAGGUGCGAAAGCAGGGCUUAGUGAUCCGGCGGUUCUGUGUGGAAGGGCCGUCGCUCACCUCGAUGUCGGCUCAUCGCAUCCUGGGGCUGAAGCAGGUCCCAAGGGUUGGGCUGUUCGCCCAUUAAAGCGGUACGUGAGCUGGGUUUAGAACGUCGCGAGACAGUUCGGUCCCUAUCUGUCGCGGGCGAAGGAUAUUUGAGAGGAGCUGUCCCUAGUACGAGAGGACCGGGAUGGACGAACCUCUGGUGCACCAGUUGUCCCGCCAGGGGCACAGCUGGGUAGUCAUGUUCGGAAGGGAUAACCGCUGAAAGCAUCUAAGCGGGAAGCCCACCUCAAGAUGAGAUAUCCCGUGGCCGCAAGGCCCCUAAAGGCCCCUCGAAGAUGACGAGGUUGAUAGGCCAGAGGUGUAAGCGUAGUAAUGCGUUUAGCUGACUGGUACUAAUCGGCCGUGCGGCUUGAUCACAUA